rnacentral:lncRNA from 10 species
ACGCCCAUGUGAGCGGCCGCGAGCGCUGGGAGGACGGACCCAGCGGUCGAUGACAGGGCCUGGCGCGGUUCGCUUUUCCUGGGUGACUGUGUUCGUGGGGCUGAGGCCCUCGAGGUGCCCACUUCCAGCUUUCCACCAAUUACUGCACUGUCUUUCCGUUUCCUGCCCCGCUGACGCGUACACCUAUUUCAGACUCAGCGCAGCUCCGCGGGGAGAAAAGUGCGGGGCUCCCUCUCGGCUCCACACCAGACUCCGGAGUAGUUCGAACUGCGCUGGGGUCGCCAAGACGCGCGCUGCCCUUCUCCCAGCACUGCCCUCCCCAGCGUCUUUGACCACUCUUAAUACCCACAAACUUGAUCGGACAAUUUCUGGUGUGUCCAGCCAUGUGUCACGUACUGGGAAUACAAAAUAGAAUGAGGCAAGCUCCCUGACCUCAAAGAUUUCAGAGUUCAGUUGGAGAAAUCGACAGAAUCUGGUACUUUUAAAACUAAACAUGAUGAAUGAAUGUGGUGAGAACAGCGGCAGAAAAUGGCACUGAAUUCCAUAGAAAUAUCUGGAAAGGUCAUUUCAAAAGGGGAGAAAAGGGGUUUGCUUCUCACGCAAGAUUUUCAACAGCCUCAAUUGGUCUCUCUACUUCCGUUGUUGCAUUUCUAUGAUAUGUUGCCCGCACAACAAUCAAAAUGAUCUUUUUAGUUAGUUUGGAGCUUUGGUUUGUCAAGGAAUUAUGAGUCAACCAUCAAUAUUUGAACUAAAAGAAACAAAACUGGGCCAGGCACCGUGGUUCACACCUGGAAACCCAACACUCUGGGAGGCUGAGGUGGGGAUAUUGCUUAUACUCAGGAAUUGGAGACCAGCCUGGGCAACAUGGCGAAACCUCAUCUCUCCAAAAAUACAAAACUUAGCCAGGUGUGGUGACAUGCGCCUGUAGCCCCAGCUGAGGUGGGAGAAUCACUUGAGCCCAGGAAAUAGAAGCUGCAGUCAGCCGUGAUUGCACCACUGCACUCCAGCCUGUGUGACAUAGCAAGACCCUGCCUCAAAAAAAAUAAAAAUAAAAAAAAGCAACGAAACUGGAUUUACUGUGUACUCUAAUAAGGAAAAGCUAUGCUGGGUCGGCACAGUCUCCCCAAGCAGAGCUGGCUGCUGAUGCUCUAUGGAGCUUUGGGGAAUACAGAGUUCAGGAAUAGGUGCAUUUCAGAGGCAAAAGGGUUUGCCAUCACCUGUAGAAGAGUAGAUAUUCUGGUAAGACUGUUAUUAAUUCUCCACUGAAUUUAUUGGAGUGAACCUGUCAUUGGCUGACUUUGAGAAAGGAGGGGUUUUUCAAAACAAGUUUUACUGAGGCAGUUGAUUAAUUGAAUGGGUUUAAAACUGGUUCUAGGAGUGUGGAAACUUGCUUUAAUUCUCAGGGCUUCAAAAAAU